AAAUAAGCAAGGAAAGAGACUAGUAAACGGACCUGCUGCAUGACAGGGAAGGCUGCCAUAGACUGAGAGCAGCCUGAUGUAAGCCCCGUUGAAUUCCCUCUUGAGCUGACCUCUGAACGCAGGCGCCGCCAGUAGGAGAGUCCGGGUCAUACCCGUUAUCAAUGACGAAGCGAGGCAUCGCCUAUCAGGGAUGUCUAAGUAGGGUGGUACCGCGAGAAAUAAAUAACUCGUCCCUUUU
rnacentral:ncRNA from 1 species